rnacentral:pre_miRNA from 10 species
GUGAGUGGGAGGCCACGGCAUGGCACGGGGAGCUGCAGGGCUGUUGGAGGGGCCCCAGCAUCUGAGCCCUGUCCCCCCGCAGG